GGCGGACGGGUGAGUAACGCGUAGGAAUCUGCCUAGUAGAGGGGGACAACAUGUGGAAACGCAUGCUAAUACCGCAUACGCCCUGAGGGGGAAAGGAGGGGACUUUUCGGAGCCUUCCGCUAUUAGAUGAGCCUGCGUGAGAUUAGCUAGGUGGUAGGGUAAAGGCCUACCAAGGCGACGAUCUCUAACUGGUCUGAGAGGAUGACCAAUCACACUGGGACUGAGACACGGCCCAGACUCCUACGGGAGGCAGCAGUGGGGAAUAUUGGACAAUGGGCGGAAGCCUGAUCCAGCCAUGCCGCGUGUGUGAAGAAGGCCUUAGGGUUGUAAAGCACUUUCAGGAGUGAGGAAGGGCGUUUGGUUAAUACCCAAGCGUUUUGACGUUAGCUCCAGAAGAAGCACCGGCUAACUCUGUGCCAGCAGCCGCGGUAAUACAGAGGGUGCAAGCGUUAAUCGGAAUUACUGGGCGUAAAGCGCGC
rnacentral:rRNA from 1 species